GGUUGGACAAGAAAUAAUCUGUCUUAAUUAAAGAUAUUGAAUUUAACUUUUAAGUGAAAAGGCUUAAAUAAUCUGAAGGGACGAUAAGACCCUAUAAAACUUUAUAUUUAAAGGUAUAAAUUAUUUUUAUUUAUAUGUUGGUAUCUAAAAGUAUUUGGUUGGGGCGACAAGGGCAGAAUAUUAAGUAACUGUCUUUUUUUUUGACAACAAUAUUUGGUUUAAUGAUCCUAAAAAGGAUUAAAGAUUAAGUUACUUUAGGGAUAACAGCGUAAUUUUCUUUGAGAGUUCUUAUCGACAGGAAAGUUUGCGACCUCGAUGUUGAAUUAAAGGUUUCU
rnacentral:rRNA from 1 species